UAACACGUGGGUAACCUGCCCAUCAGAAGGGGAUAACACUUGGAAACAGGUGCUAAUACCGUAUAACAAUCGAAACCGCAUGGUUUUGAUUUGAAAGGCGCUUUCGGGUGUCGCUGAUGGAUGGACCCGCGGUGCAUUAGCUAGUUGGUGAGGUAACGGCUCACCAAGGCCACGAUGCAUAGCCGACCUGAGAGGGUGAUCGGCCACAUUGGGACUGAGACACGGCCCAAACUCCUACGGGAGGCAGCAGUAGGGAAUCUUCGGCAAUGGACGAAAGUCUGACCGAGCAACGCCGCGUGAGUGAAGAAGGUUUUCGGAUCGUAAAACUCUGUUGUUAGAGAAGAACAAGGAUGAGAGUAACUGUUCAUCCCUUGACGGUAUCUAACCAGAAAGCCACGGCUAACUACGUGCCAGCAGCCGCGGUAAUACGUAGGUGGCAAGCGUUGUCCGGAUUUAUUGGGCGUAAAGCGAGCGCAGGCGGUUUCUUAAGUCUGAUGUGAAAGCCCCCGGCUCAACCGGGGAGGGUCAUUGGAAACUGGGAGACUUGAGUGCAGAAGAGGAGAGUGGAAUUCCAUGUGUAGCGGUGAAAUGCGUAGAUAUAUGGAGGAACACCAGUGGCGAAGGCGGCUCUCUGGUCUGUAACUGACGCUGAGGCUCGAAAGCGUGGGGAGCAAACAGGAUUAGAUACCCUGGUAGUCCACGCCGUAAACGAUGAGUGCUAAGUGUUGGAGGGUUUCCGCCCUUCAGUGCUGCAGCUAACGCAUUAAGCACUCCGCCUGGG
rnacentral:rRNA from 1 species